CAAGUCGAACGGAGAUCCGGGCUUCGGCCCGGGGAUCAGUGGCGAACGGGUGCGUAACACGUGGGCAACCUGCCCCUCACUCUGGGAUAACCCCGGGAAACCGGAGCUAAUACCGGAUACUCCGCGCGGUCCGCAUGGGCCGCUCGGGAAAGGUCCGCCGGUGAGGGAUGGGCCCGCGGCCUAUCAGCUUGUUGGUGAGGUAACGGCUCACCAAGGCGACGACGGGUAGCUGGUCUGAGAGGACGACCAGCCACACUGGGACUGAGAUACGGCCCAGACUCCUACGGGAGGCAGCAGUGGGGAAUCUUGCGCAAUGGGCGAAAGCCUGACGCAGCGACGCCGCGUGGGGGAUGAAGGCCCUCGGGUUGUAAACCCCUUUCGGCAGGGACGAAGCGAUAGUGACGGUACCUGCAGAAGAAGCCUCGGCUAACUACGUGCCAGCAGCCGCGGUAAGACGUAGGAGGCGAGCGUUGUCCGGAUUCAUUGGGCGUAAAGAGCACGCAGGCGGUUUGGCAAGUCGGAUGUGAAAACCCGAAGCUCAACUUCGGGCCUGCAUCCGAAACUGCCCGACUAGAGGUAGGUAGGGGAGAUCGGAAUUCCUGGUGUAGCGGUGAAAUGCGCAGAUAUCAGGAGGAACACCGGUGGCGAAGGCGGAUCUCUGGGCCUUACCUGACGCUCAGGUGCGAAAGCUAGGGGAGCGAACAGGAUUAGAUACCCUGGUAGUCCUAGCCGUAAACGUUGGGUGCUAGGUGUGGGCGGUCAUCAACCCCGUCCGUGCCGAAGCUAACGCAUUAAGCACCCCGCCUGGGGAGUACGGCCGCAAGGCUAAAACUCAAAGGAAUUGACGGGG
rnacentral:rRNA from 1 species